UUUUCUCGGUGAGGAUGGACCCGUCCUUACUCCUCUUAGUCGGCCCCGCCAACUAACGACGCGGGGCCGGGAACGCAGAGACCACCCGGCGCCCGGAGCCGGAGGGCUGGAGACGCGGAGCCCGGAGGGAAAGCCAAUGCCUCGCUCGGCCCAGGGAAUUUUCUCCCCCGCCGCCUUCUGUCGUCCGCGCUCCCAGCUCCGCCGCUUGGCGCGCCCCAGCACUGGAUCCACCGGGUGUUGGGUUCGGUAACGGCAAUUUGGGGCGGAGGGUUCGAGGGAGACCGGCCAGCAAGCGGGUCCACCCUGGUGUGGCUCGGUCCCCCGAGAGAAGGAGCGAGAGGAGCGCUCGAAGGGACACUGGGGAAAUGGAUCUUUACAGUUUAGGAUUAUGAAGAAACUCCGGUUUCUCAGUGCCUAUUUACUGCAUGUAGAUACAAGACUUCCCUGAACAAGGAAAAGCCCUCAACCCAGAUCCCUAAACUUGUUGUAACUGACCUGAGUCUUUUCAUGCUCAGACUGCAGUGUCAAACUUUGAUGAGACUCGGAUUCCCCAGCAUCUUGCCGGGCCAGCUCCCACCACCAAUUCUAAUUCAGCACGUUUGCUGGGUCCUCAAAGACCCGGAAAGGAAAUCAACACCCCAAACGGGGGAAAGUAUUAGAGAGCAAAGGUUCCUUCAACGGGAAGCCAGCUGGCAUAGGACUUAGGCCAGGCGCAGGAAAAAGCAGUUAAAAAUGUGAAAUGACAACCAGGGGACAAAUGGGUUGUUACUGCAACCUCUCCACCUGCAAGAAAUCACCCUUAGCUAAAUAUAACGUACCAUUGCUCUAACAAAG